rnacentral:rRNA from 1 species
UACGUAGGAUGCGAGCGUUAUCCGGAUUUAUUGGGUUUAAAGGGUGCGCAGGCGGCACGGCAAGCCGGCGGUCAAAUCGCGGGGCUCAACCCCGCCCAGCCGUCGGAACUGCCGGGCUAGAAUGGGCGAGAAGUGCGCGGAAUGCGUGGUGUAGCGGUGAAAUGCAUAGAUAUCACGCAGAACUCCGAUUGCGAAGGCAGCGCACCGGCGCCCUACUGACGCUCAGGCACGAAAGCGUGGGUAUCGAACAGG